UACGGAGGGGGCUAGCGUUGUCCGGAUUCAUUGGGCGUAAAGGGUGCGUAGGCGGCGGGGUAAGUUUGAUGUGAAAUCCCGGGGCUCAACCCUGGAAUUGCAUUGAAUACUACCUUGCUAGAGUACCGGAGAGGAAACUGGAAUUUACGGUGUAGCAGUGAAAUGCGUAGAGAUCGUAAGGAAGACCAGUGGCGAAGGCGAGUUUCUGGACGGUAACUGACGCUGAGGCACGAAGGCCAGGGGAGCAAACGGG
rnacentral:rRNA from 1 species